rnacentral:rRNA from 1 species
UACGUAGGUGGCAAGCGUUGUCCGGAUUUAUUGGGUUUAAAGGGUGCGUAGGCGGUGUCCUAAGUCAGUUGUGUAAUACGGCAGCUUAACUGUCGAGGUGCAAUUGAUACUGGGACACUUGAGUACUGAUGAGGUAUGCGGAAUGGACGGUGUAGCGGUGAAAUGCUUAGAUAUCGUCCAGAACACCGAUAGCGAAGGCAGCAUACUAAGGAGUAACUGACGCUGAGGCACGAAAGUGUGGGGAUCAAACAGG